UGUAUCCGAGAAGUCUACUGCAACAGACGCGCAACACAGAGUGAGAGAACUCGUACAGAACGUACCAAGUAACGCAAGCCCUGAAAAGAGUGUGCAAUAAAGAGAAGUGUUUUAAGGAGGCAAACCGCGCGAAAAAGAGUUACAAGAGGAAAAAUAACAGCACGACAGGAGUGAUCGGUUUGUAUACAAAAUAAAGAUCAGAAGUUUAAUGCACGGCAACAAUUAAGGCACGGCGCGCGAGCUUCAUAAGUAACUGGUUUAAGUUACUUAGUCGGUUGGUACAAGUACUUAAGAGAGGAGGCCGGCGCUGGAAAAGUGCAAGAACGUCGUCGUAAAACGCUAAAGUUUAUCGGUUUUUUUUGAACAGCAACACGUUUUGCGAGGUGUGCAAGUGUGAGGAGGGAAAUCGAACAAAAAGUUAGUUGCGGUUUCAUCUAUCUGCAGUUGGAAGCAGGAAAAGUGACGGAAGCUACUAGGUUGAUCACGUGCAGUUCGUUACAGUCGUCCAAGAUGACUGUAAUUAAGUAAGAAACAUUUGAAAAAAGUGUGAUUUCAGUUGUAAAAAUCAAACAAAAACUCUCAAGAGUGAAUCAGUGAUUGAAGUUGACUUCAACAAACAGAAGAGAGCUAUCAAGUUGUAGAAAGGUCAACGAGAUUCGCGGCAGCAUCACUUAAGGAGAAAUCCAUCGCACCAGUCAGCAGACCCGGGUAGAGCGUUCUUUACCACCGUAAGGGUGCCCGCGCACGUUUACCUUCGUCGGACAACUUUUUCUUCAACUCUGCGUGGCGCGCGUGCGAAUCGGAUAAACCCCGACUCUGACUCUGAAUUGAAAUCAUGUGUUCCCGCAACUUUGCGCUCUCGCUGGCACUGAUAAUCGCACUGGUACCACUGGCCACCGUCGCGUUACCCCACCACAGUGUUGCCAAGCGGAGCUCCUUCUUCGAGAUCGACUGCAAGGGACAGUUCAACAAGCAGAUCUUCUACCGGCUGGAUCGGAUAUGCGAAGACUGCUACUCGUUGUUCCGCGAGCCGCAGAUUCUGUCCUUCUGCAAAAAGCAGUGCUUCACGACAGACUACUUCCGGGGCUGUAUAGACGCGCUCCAGCUGACCGAUGAGAUCGAAACGCUGAAGCCGUACAUCAAGGUGCUAAACGGUGCCGACCCCAACACGUUAUAAGUCCCCGGUCCGUCGAACAUCGAUCAACUGAGAAACUCAACAGCAUCACUCAACCAAACCGUGCCACCCCCACACGUGUGCGACUUUGACCACGUGGUCCGUGGAGGCUGGGCUAGGUCAGGAGAGAUGUACUACUAGAGAAAAAAAAAACUUGCGCGCGCAAAAGUGCUUAACAAACAAACAAACUACAAACCAGUAUCAAAACAGCAGCAGCAGCAGCAAAAGUCAUCGUAAAUCGUCAUCAACCAACCGGACACAAGGAAGAUCCUCAACCCGACAACGGAAACAACAAAAAAAAAACGAUGUGCAAUUUUCUACCACGUUUUUUGGGACGAGAUAGUACGACGACCGCGAUGUCCCCGGGCGGAAAUGGAAGGAUUCAGUUUCUUUUGAUUUUCGUUUCGUUCUGUUACGAUUUUUAAUGCUGAGAGGACUGCUUCGGCUCGGAGUACUUCCUGGCCUGCGUGGAGGCGCUGUUUCUGGACGAGGAGAAGGAGAAGUUUAUGAAGUGGCGCGAGAUGCUGGGGAAGUAAAGGGGCGCCCCUUUUAUUUGUCCUGAGAGAGAGCGAGGAGGAGAGAGCGAUAUCUUCGAACUGCAGCUGUUUUUAUCUUUAAAUUGUUUUAGGUUUUUUUUGUUUUACUUCGAGAGAGCGAACAAACAGAAAUGUACACAAACACAAACACCCUCACACUCACUCGUAAACUGAUAUUUUAUACAUGUACACACAGACACACUCACAAAACUCAGAUAUAGCAUGGAAGAGCGAGAUUGGUUAGGGUUAGGCGCGAGUGGAAGCAGCAUGAACGAGGUAGAAUGUGUUUUUAUUUAGUAGGUUUUGCUAUUUUCUCUUGCUUUCAGGCAGCACAAACUAACACAUAAGAUUUAUUAUGAACUAUGAGCAAAACGAAAAAAACAGGGCAGUGACUGAAGUGGAGAAGGAAAGGAGCAAGCCGACGUGUACAUAAUUAAGUGAUAACAAGAUAUUUAUUUAUAAAUAGUUUUGAGAGUAAGAAAGCGAACAAUUUACUAACUUUCAAAGUUGGCAGAAUGGCGAGCGAAGGUUUAGAAUAGUUAGACGGAGAAGAAAGUACUACUCACAGUUUGUAACGGAUUGUAUCUCAGUAUUUUGGCUUGAGGAACGCGCAGAUGUGUACCAGUUCGAACUGCUCGUGAAGGUGGGAUGCGAAGGGGGUGACGUUGCGAUCCUGACGCGGUGAGUCGAUCACCCUGCUAGGACAUCGCGGCGGAUUGCCCCUUCAAUCCCUCCGCCGAGCAGAGCAGAGUUUGUCGAAUGUUUAGAAAAGAAUCAACCUUGGAAAGCAUAGUUUUAUUUUGUUCAAACGAUUUUAUCAAUAGCGACGCAAACAAAAUUCGAGCAUAACAUGAAAAUAUGUCUUACGUUAAUGUAUUUAUAUUUUCAAAAAAUAUACUUCUUUAAAAUCUAGUCCAGAAAGCACACAUUUACGUUUAGUUAUUUAUGACGAAGGGAGGAAAGAAAACUGAAAACUGAAAAAUAUCGAAGCAACUCGAACGAUCAACGCUAGAGAGUUAAGGGAAAUUACAGAGAAGUAGAACUUUUAACAAGCGGUGUUAUCUCUCACACGCGAUUACACGAUUUGUGUUUGUAGCUUUAGUUCUCGCGCGCGUUCUUCCUUUCUCGGUUCGUUGUCGGGUUUUUGCGAUCGAUCGAUAUGGUGCGCGCGCUCUGAUGAUCUUCCGCUCUGUUUCCUAUUACGCAAAACCACAAAAACCAUGGCUGGACGGACAUGCAAAUUACCACGGAACCACGCGUUGAAGUACUCACAUCAGUCGAACACAUCUCUUGCAUCUUGUACAGCUACGCUGAAGAAGAAAAAAAUUGUAAAUUAUUAACAUUCCUCGUUAGACAGUAUUUUCUCUCCAAAAUAGACUAAUCAUUGAAACAAAAAAUCAAACAAAACAAAUCUUUCUUUCUCUUACACUCAACAAAUCCUUCCAAGAGGGGACGAGAGCCCGGGCCCGAAUCCGAAAAAGGGGCGACGACGACGACGCAGGAGAUCUAAAGUCCAGACUUCCGCACAGUGUCAAUCAAAUUUGGUUUUUGAAAUCGCAAACAAACACACACACGCAAGUUCCUUCCGAGUUGAGUUUUGGUCGUUUGCUAACGUUUUUGCUAACAGUAAAAGGUGUGUAUAUUUAUUUCGCAAAAGCCGCCAGUUUAAGCUAUCGAACGAAAUUACGCGAGAGAGGGGAGAUUGGAGAAAAAAGAUAGUUUGUAACACUGUUCGUUGAUUGCCAUUAUUUUUUUUGUAAUAUAUAUUUUUUUAUUGAGCGGAGGAGUCACAUUUUUUUCUUGCAAACAUGCGGAGCUAUGUAAGUUGAUGUAUUUAUAAUGUUUUUUGUCGCUGAAGAGGAAGUGCACGAUGGAGAGCAACCAAUGUUUUGUCUGUAAACAAAUGCUGAACACAAACUGAUAUUCAUAUACUUUAACGAAAAUACGGGGAAAUAAAAAUAUCAAUGAGCAUAAGAAGAAAU